rnacentral:tRNA from 1 species
UCUUCGAUGGUCUAGUGGUCAUGAUUUCCGCUUGUCAUUCCUCCCUGGAAAACAAGCGCGGGAGACCGGGGUUCGAUUCCCCGUCGGAGAG